CUAGCGACUUCAGAGUUUGAUCCUGGCUCAGGAUGAACGCUGGCGGCGUGCUUAACACAUGCAAGUCGAACGAAGCGCUUUUAACGGACUGGAGAGCUUGCUCAAAGGAAAGAUAGAAGUGACUGAGUGGCGGACGGGUGAGUAACGCGUGGGUAACCUGCCUCAUACAGGGGGAUAACAGUUAGAAAUGACUGCUAAUACCGCAUAAGCGCACAGUAUCGCAUGAUGCAGUGUGAAAAACUCCGGUGGUAUGAGAUGGACCCGCGUCUGAUUAACUAGUUGGUGGGGUAACGGCCUACCAAGGCGACGAUCAGUAGCCGGCUUGAGAGAGUGAACGGCCACAUUGGGACUGAGACACGGCCCAA
rnacentral:rRNA from 1 species